rnacentral:rRNA from 1 species
GGGAAUAUUGGACAAUGGGCGCAAGCCUGAUCCAGCCAUACCGCGUGGGUGAAGAAGGCCUUCGGGUUGUAAAGCCCUUUUGUUGGGAAAGAAAUCCUGUCGAUUAAUACUCGGUGGGGAUGACGGUACCCAAAGAAUAAGCACCGGCUAACUUCGUGCCAGCAGCCGCGGUAAUACGAAGGGUGCAAGCGUUACUCGGAAUUACUGGGCGUAAAGCGUGCGUAGGUGGUGGUUUAAGUCUGCUGUGAAAGCCCUGGGCUCAACCUGGGAAUUGCAGUGGAUACUGGAUCACUAGAGUGUGGUAGAGGGAUGCGGAAUUUCUGGUGUAGCAGUGAAAUGCGUAGAGAUCAGAAGGAACAUCCGUGGCGAAGGCGGCAUCCUGGGCCAACACUGACACUGAGGCACGAAAGCGUGGGGAGCAAACAG